rnacentral:rRNA from 1 species
UACGUAGGCAGCGAGCGUUGUUCGGAGUUACUGGGCGUAAAGGGUGUGUAGGCGGUUGUUUAAGGUUGGUGUGAAAUCUCCUGGCUCAACUGGAAGGGUGCGCCGGAAACUGGAGUGCUUGAGCGUGGGAGAGGAAAGCGGAAUUCCUGGUGUAGCGGUGAAAUGCGUAGAUAUCAGGAGGAACACCUGUGGUGUAGACGGCUUUCUGGACCAUAGCUGACGCUGAGACACGAAAGCGUGGGUAGCAAACAGG